rnacentral:rRNA from 1 species
GAUGAACGCUGGCGGCGUGCCUAAUACAUGCCAGUCGAGCGAACGGACGAGAAGCUUGCUUCUCUGAUGUUAGCGGCGGACGGGUGAGUAACACGUGGAUAACCUACCUAUAAGACUGGGAUAACUUCGGGAAACCGUAGCUAAUACCGGAUAAUAUUUUGAACCGCAUGGUUCAAAAGUGAAAGACGGUCUUGCUGUCACUUAUAGAUGGAUCCGCGCUGCAUUAGCCAGUUGGUAAGGUAACGGCUUACCAAGGCAACGAUGCAUAGCCGACCUGAGAGGGUGAUCGGCCACACUGGAACUGAGACACGGUCCAGACUCCUACGGGAGGCAGCAGUAGGGAAUCUUCCGCAAUGGGCGAAAGCCUGACGGAGCAACGCCGCGUGAGUGAUGAAGGUCUUCGGAUCGUAAAACUCUGUUAUUAGGGAAGAACAUAUGUGUAAGUAACUGUGCACAUCUUGACGGUACCUAAUCAGAAAGCCACGGCUAACUACGUG